rnacentral:misc_RNA from 1 species
AAAAGUCGUAACAAGGUAACCGUAGGUGAACCUGCGGUUGGAUCAUUAAAUUGAAAAAGAGAGAGAAGAAAUUCUCUUGAUUUUUAAACAUUUAGAGAUAAUUGAAUGUUUUUUUUGUGGAAUGAAGAGAGAUUCUUUUUUUCCACAAAUUUAAAUAAUUAAACCCUUUUAAUAUUUAUACUUAUUAUUAUAAAAAAAAACAACUUUUGACAACGGAUCUCUUGGCUCUCG